rnacentral:rRNA from 1 species
UACAGGGGGUGCAAACGUUGCUCGGAAUCAUUGGGCGUAAAGCGCACGUAGGCGGUUCGUUAUGUCGGAUGUGAAAGCCCUUGGCUUAACCUAGGAACUGCAUCUUAUACUGCAUGAUUAGAGUAUUGUAGAGGGUAGUGGAAUUUCCGGUGUAGCGGUGAAAUGCGUAGAGAUCGGAAGGAACACCAGUGGCGAAGGCGGCUACCUGGACAAAUACUGACGCUGA